rnacentral:rRNA from 1 species
UACGGAGGGUGCGAGCGUUGUCCGGAUUUAUUGGGUUUAAAGGGUGCGUAGGCGGCCUCUUAAGUCAGUGGUGAAAGCCCGGGGCUCAACCCCGGAACCGCCAUUGAUACUGGGAGGCUUGAGUACAGACGAGGUAGGCGGAAUUGAGGGUGUAGCGGUGAAAUGCUUAGAUACCCUCAAGAACACCGAUUGCGUAGGCAGCUUACUAGGCUGUAACUGACGCUGAGGCACGAAAGCGUGGGGAGCAAACAGG